CCAGACAUGUGGAAAGGGCCAUCCCAGCUCCUGUACACCCUGUAGGAUCAACUGAAACACUGUAGCAACUGCAUCAGAGUUCAACAAAUAGGGUUUUUACUCUAUGUGCCUCUUUGAAAACCACAAUUUUUUUCUCAGUAUCUCAUAUCUUGGCUCUCCAUCCAUAUUAUCCCUACGAGUGUAGACAUAUAGUCUUCAACAGCUGCAAAACAUCCCAUGGAUAUCUCAUAAUUCACUUAUCCCAUUCCUUAUUGUUGAAUAUUUAGGUACUUUCCAACUAUUUUCUAUCAAUUAUACUUUGUUGAACAUCUUUGUAUAUACAUCUUCAUAAAUUUGUCCAACUGUCUUUAGGAUGAAUUCCUAGAGGCUGAUUGAUGGGUCAAAAGAUACUGCUCUCCAUAAGAGUGCUAACAAUUUCUAUUCCCACCACAAGUACUGGGAAAAUCCCCAAAUCUGUCUGUCUCCAUUCAGAUUCGUGACGAUGAAACUCAAAUGGACCCUCAGCACUGCAAUCCUACACACAUUCCUCCAUAGUUUGCUUUCCUACUUUUCAAGAUAAUCCUUUAAAUUGGUUUCAUUUCUUCUUAACCCUACUGCAUCCCUUCCCCUCCCACAUGCCCAGCUGAUAUCCUGGUUUCAUACCUGUCCCCCCUGCAAAAAAAUUGAAGGCAUAGAGGGCAACAAUCUUACCUGUCCACCCUCAAAUCGAUACACCCCCAACCCUGCCACAUGGACUAUGUACCAGAACCCCAUUGUCUCUGCCUUCCUCUUUCACUAUAGCAGUGUCCACGUGGCUAGCCAUGGUUAACACCUCACUUGAACCACAUUUGUCCAACUGCUCAAGGACUUCUGUCCUGCGAUAUCCCCUUUCCUUCUUACAUCAUCAUCACCAUCCACCACCACCAUCAUCAUCAUCAUCAUCCUCAUCAUCUCUGUCUUCUCUCUCCUGGAUGAUUGCCAAUGGCAUAAAAUGAACUCUCUCAUCCCCCAUCUCAAAAUACAGACAAAUCAAAAAUCAAAAAUAACAAAAUAAGACAACACUCCUUUCAUGGCCCCUCUAGUCUUCACCCCAUUUCUCUUCAGUUCCCUUCCCAGCAAAACCUCUGGAACAAGUUGUCUACACUCUUUGCCACAAAUUCCUCACUGUCCAUCCACUCUCCACACUCUCCCAGUGAGCCCUACCACUCACCCCACCUGUUCUUAUCCAACUGAUUCCUUUUAUGUUGCCACAUCUAAGGGACAUAUUUUGGUCCUUGUCUUGACUGAUUCCCAGUGGCAGAGGCAGUGUCUAGAGCGAACCACUCUCCUGAAAAACCCAACCACCCCAACUUCUAGGAUAAUACAGGAUCCGCUGGUUCCUCUUCUAACUUACACAUUUCUCCUGCUUAGAUUGUUUUGCUGGCAUCUCCCCCUCCACAUGAACUCUGAAGAUUGGAGUACCUCAGGGCUCAGUCCUUGGCCCUGGAGACCCUUCCUCUUGUAUCCCCACCCCCUUCUCUGUCUCAAUAAUCAUCACAUAAAAUCAAUACCAAAAAUUGACAAAGGCAGCUCAAAAAGAAAGAAAUACAGAUCAAUGGCAUAUCAUAUAUUCACUCAUUCAAUACAUAUUUAUUGAACACCUACUUUGUGCUAAGCAUUGAGGGAAGACUAUGGUGAAAGAGAUAGGAAGUCUCUGUUCCAAAGUUACAUACCAUAACGUGCAAAAUCUCACACUCAAAGCAGAAGUGAUCCUUAAAUGGUAUAAUUGCAUGUGAAGGCUUUUUUUUUUUUUUUUAAUAUUUGGCUUUAUUAAAGGUUUUGAUUUUUUUUUUUUUUGUCCUUGUUUUUUUUUUUUUUUCUUUUAAGGAAAAGGGAAAGCCAGGUUUGUACCUCUGAAAAAAAUGUUGGCAUAGUUUUUAAACAAACACUCUAAAGAUUCUCUAAUCUUCUUAGAGUCAGAAGUGAACUAUUUCCUUACUUAACUACAAUUAGAAAUGGCUUAUUUUCUCAAUUUUAAAUGAGUUUCUGAAACAUAUCACAUGACACCAAAGAUGAGUGGAAAUUAGAAGCUGUUGCUGCUCUUUCUAGGUCAUGAAUCAUAGCCUUUUCUCUACAAUUUGCUGCAACUAAUGUCUGAAAUCUAAGGCCCCCAUCCUGAAUUAAAUUAUAAUUCAGAGUUAAGAGGACAUUACCCAAAUCAGCACUGUAGGGGUUUAUUUACAUCAUGCAUGUAGUGAUAAAUUGGGAAAUCCUUGUGUAUUGAAGAUCUUCCUCUCUGAACAUUCGGAUAUCCCAUAACACUGCCUUUAGGAUAAAAAUAAGGUGGGGCAGGGGUUGGCCUGGAUUUGUUUUCAGACAUCUUAACCAACAUUUGGACCAAAUACAUAGAAAGCAUAAUACAUUUAUAUAUGUAUCAAUUAUUAUAUUCCCUAAAUAGCCAUAGUGAUGAAAGUCUCUGCAGUACACACACUUAGUCUACUAGCUUUCUGGCUUUAUCUUUCCAUCCUCUUCAGACUUUGUGGGGUCCACUGUGUGGAUAUCUUGACUCAUGAAUUUUUUAGACUAAUUAUCCCAGCAGAUUUAAGCCUGUUGGACACUGGGGCACUGGUUGGUGCUGUUGUGACUGUUAAUGGGCAUAUACUGGGUAAGAUUUUUCCUUUCGUCUUGUUUUAUGUCCCAAGAGUUUGGCUAGGGGUCAAGGAGAGGGUACCCCAAGAUGGGCCACUUUGGCAUUAAGACUAUUUUGAGCUGAAAGUAAUCAAGAUCCUGUGAACUCCAAAGAAACGUUUUGCCCUUCCCUUAACUACAUGGAAGAACCUAAAUUAGAGGAGGUCUUUCCCAGAAUAAUGGUUAUUACCAGAGUUAAAGUUUAUUUGAGUGACCCAUCUGUAUACCAGGGCAAAAAUCUAACUACCAAACAUCUGCUUUUUUUCUUACUGCCCUGUCAAUGGCAUUUUUUCCCUUUGAAGUCCCAGAUCCCUAUUCCAUUCCCCCGAGUUCAGGAUGACAUAUAUACCUCCUUUUGCCUGACUGUUUUUGGAAUUUCUGUGACUACGUGGAUUCCCCAUUUGUACACUAUUAAAUUUGAUUUUCUUCCUUUAAUCUGUCUCAUGUCGAUUUGAUUCUUAGUCCAGCUAGAAGGGCCUUUGAGGGGACAGGAAUUCUGGCUCCUUGACAGUUGGCAUAGUCAAAAGGAUGUUUUAAGUCACUGGACACCAGUCGCUCUGACGCUGCUGGAGCUGAAAUCUCCUGGGACAUCUGACACACAGCUGGCAGAAGGACAUGAUUGGAAGCCUUAGUUAUAUUACAAAGGCUUUGGCUGGAAUGUCGUAUUUGAGAGAGGCGUGCAUAGACUCAGAUAUGAACAGACAGCUUUAAGGAACUAAGCCUGACUUUAUGGAGCCAAUAAAACCCCUUGGAAAAUAUCAGCCUGGUGCAUUGCUCACAAAGGUCCCAGCAGCCUCACCAGGUGAAUAAAGAAGGUCACUCCCUGGCAGGUGCAGGAAGCUCAGGAUGUUCUGGGGACCUCGAGAAGAGAGGAAUUCACCCAAGUCUUGUUCUCCAGUGCCAGGCUACAACUCUCCAAACUAAUGUUUUUGAAUGUUCUCCCACCUUUCUGACUUGGAAUCAUUUGAGAACUAAAACUUCCCUCUUCCUUGAAGCCCUGCAAACUUAAUAUAAAUGGCUUGGUGUAAACUUCAGAGAAAUUGCCACAAUGGCUCAUGUCUAGACAAUCUUUGUACCUACUGCACUGUGGGCCACUCAACAGAUUGCUAGAGACAUGUGAGCUACAAACCAGGAGAAUCUGUCGCAUUGCCACGGCCUGCCUUCACUCUGUCUGAAGAUGCUCGGAGCCUGACAUCUAGAAGUCUUGUCAGCUGGCUGGCUCAGAACUCAGAGACAGGUUUAUAAUCUGAUCUAAUCAUUAACCGCUGCUUUUCUUUUAUUUCCAUAGAAAGGCCUCUUAUCUAAUACCUGAUUACUUGAACCAUAGGCCUAGCUUGGAGAAACGCCACCUUCUGAAAUGAGUUCAACUAAGCUGACCUAUUAUCAAGACUCAGGGGAGUGGUUCGGUGAGAUGAAACAAUCUACCAGCUCAACUUUUAAUGUGGGAACCAUCAGGAAGUUUCAGGGGACGGAACUGUGAGGGCCAAAGACAGGCUGUCCCAAGAUGGGCCACUUUGGUAUGAAGACUAUUUUGAGCUGAAAGCAGUCGAGACCCUCUAGGUCAAGAGGAACCCCUUGCUCCUCCCUGAGCUGCAUAGGAGAAUCUAGAUUGGCAAUCUUUCCCAGAAUAACGGUUAUUACCACAGAUACAUUUAUCUGCAUGACCCAUCUGUAGGGCAGGGCAGACAUCUAAGUACCAAACACCGGCUCCUUUUCUUACUGCCCUGUCAACUGCACUUUUUCCCUUCAAAGUCCCAGACUCCUACCCCUUCUCCUCACCUCAGGAUGGCAUACAGACCUCAUUUGGCCUGACUGUCUUUGGAAUUUCCAUGUCUGUGUGGAUUCCCUGUAUGUAUGCUAUUAAAUUUGAUUUUCUCCUAUUGAUCCA